UAGCGUGAGGGUGCUAAGGUAGCGAAAUUCCUUGCCUUUUGAUUGUAGGCCUGCAUGAAUGGUUUAACGAGGGUUUAGCUGUCUCUAAAUUUUUAAUUGAAAUUGUAUUGAAGGUGAAGAUACCUUCAUUUAAAAGUUAGACAAAAAGACCCCGUGCAACUUUGAAAAUUAACUUUAUUCAGGGGUAAAAGAUUUUUAGGUGGGGCGCCUAGAAAGUAAGCCUAACCUUUCUGAGUAGGAGUUUCUUUCAGGAGUUGACCCGAUUAUAUUCGAUCAUAGGAGAAGUUACGCCGGGGAUAACA
rnacentral:rRNA from 1 species